UUUUCGUAGGUGAACCUGCGGAAGGAUCAUUACAGAGUUCAUGCCCUCACGGGCAGAUCUCCCACCCUUGAAUAUUUAUACCUUAGUUGCUUUGGCAGGCCGUGGAAACACCAUGGGCUCCGGCUUAUGCGUGCCUGCCAGAGGAAACAAACUCUGUUUUUAGUGAUGUCUGAGUACUAUAUAAUAGUUAAAACUUUCAACAACGGAUCUCUUGGUUCUG
rnacentral:misc_RNA from 1 species